ACGACUUAGAGCUGUGCUAAGGCUGAUCAGGACAGUAAUUCAACAAGGGAAUUUACUUCCCUUUAACUUGGAUGGGACCAACUUCUGUGUAUCACAGGGGCUGGACCUGCAUGGGCUUUAAGGUGCCUUCCAACCAAACCAUUCUGAGCUUUCAUGAUUUUAUAAUGACUGAUCAUCUUGUUUUCCAGGAACCCCCAAUCUGCCCUUGGGCACCCAGGCUCCAAAUCCAGCUUGGUGAGCUCAGCACAGCACAUCAGGAUGUACAUUUGCAGUUUCUAGAGUCCAUGGCAGCCCAGGAGCACUUUUGAAAAAACCCCAUCUGCCUUCCUUUUAUAUUUUCAUUGAAUCAUGGAAUAUCCUGAGCUGGGAGGGACCCACCAAGAUCAUCUAGUCCAACCUCUGGCCCUGCAUAGACACCCCAACAAUCCCACCCUGUGCCUGGGAGCCUUGUCCAAACAUCCCUGGAGCUCUGGCAGUGUGUGGAAAACUACAUCACACAUCCCUCAGAGCUAGAGAAGGAAUUGUUUUGUCUCCCUGCUCUGUGAAGAGAGCUCACCAUCCCCUAAUAAGAAGCUCAGAAGUACACACCAAAGCAGCACAGAAUCUGAAAAAUAUAAAAGCCAAACCUGAGGCAUCACCACUGGUAGCAGAGGUUUGUACCCACAAUGACCUUUGCUGAAGGAGGCCGGGGGCUGGGGGAGCCACCCCAGCAGGGGAGCAGCGUGCUCGGUGGAGCAGACAGGACCUGAGCAGGCAGUCGUGUUCCCUGUGUCCCUUGGGGUGGCGAUGCAGCACGGGGGCUCUUGGGGCUGUGUCCACACCGUGAGGCAUCACCACCCACUGAACUGCCAGGAGGCCUGCACAGCAUGCCCUGGGAUUGCACUUUCCCUAACCCCAAACUCUGCCCUAAAACACAAAAUCCCAGAAUCUCUGAGGCCGGAAAAGCCCUCCCAGACCAUCGAGUCCAACCCCUGACUGAUCCCCACCUCCUCAACCCAACCAAAGCACCGAGUGCCACCGCCAGUUUUCCUUGGACACCUCCAGAAAUGGGAAUUCCACCACCUCCCUGUUCUUCUCCAAUACUCUUUUUUUCUAACUCAUAUAUUCUUUCCCAACUUACCUGUAAAUUUGUUUUAAAUAUGUGCUUAAAGCAAAGCAUUUUAAAAUGAGCAUCUGCUGCUGUAGAGAAGAAGAGAGAGCAAGUUUUCCUGUGAGUGGGAAUCUAAUUUGUUAUCACCUGUCUUAGGUACUUAGGAAUGUGAUUUGUGGCCUACAUGAAAAAUGGAGUUGUUUCAUGUAGUAAAGCUCAAUUUUGUACUUCAAAGAGCACAUAAUUUUGUAGCUGCUUCUCAGAAUAAUAGAAUUUCACUUUAUUCAAUUAUUUAUGUUUUAUAUUUGAGCUUACUCUUUAGUCAGUAAAUUAAGUUGUUUUAUUUAUUAUUCCGUUAAACAGAAUAAUUUUAUUACUUGUAUUUCUAUUAACUCCAAUUCUUUAACUCAGAAGGGUUCCUGGGGUCAUCUUCAUCUUCCCGCAAUUAGAGCACAGCUAAUUUUGAAGGUACUGUAGCUUUCCCAUUUUUUUUUCUUUAUGUCCAAGGAUGGAAACUCCACUACCUCCUUAUAAAAGCAUGAGACACCCAUGAAACUCGUGGUCCAAUUUUUCUCCUGUAGAGUUCAGCACAACACUCAGGGGUCACAGAAUACUCUGCCUUGUACCAAGGAGGGUUUGUUUUUGAUGGACAAUACAUCUCAGGGGAGGAGAGUGUAUAAAGGACUUCGUGGAGGAAUUUAUUUAAUGCUGCAUUCAUGAAGAAUAUUCCAAAUCUUUCUCUGCUUCUUCCAAGAAGGAAUGCUUCUUCAGGAAAUGAUUCAUUGUUCCUUAAUGCUUCAAAAAAAACCCCAAACAAAAACAUUGACUUUUUCAUCUGGAGGGAGUCUCUUAUUUUGCCUUUUGGGUGAAAGCACUUAGCCUUGUGCACAUGAAGCAUUAAAAACUACAAGCCAGUCCUGCCCCAUGUGUCUGCAACAGCUGUGAUUUUAUUCCUUUAGUUUUUAAGGCUCCUUUUCUUCCUCUUCUCCUCUGUGGCAGCCUGGUCAUUGUUUUCGUAUCUUUCAUAUCAAAUCAGUGUUAUAAAUUCGGCUGUUACAUCUGGAACUAUUUCUCUCUAAGGAAAGCAGAGAGUCUGACAAACUCACGGACUCCAAGGAUGCAGGAAUUAUGGGAUUCAUAUACAUGCAAAAUAUAAGCAACAAAAUUUAAAAACUGUGACUGUAACCCUGUGUUUACACUUAAGACAGAUUCCACUGCAAGGAAAAAAUCCUGGAUUUUAGGAUAGACUAUUGUUCUUUGAUAUUUGAAUAACUUAUUUGCCCUUUCUUUUCCUUGUCUUUGCACUUCCAGGAAAAUCACAUAGAAAGGUAAGAUGGGUAAAGAGGCACCAAAUAAUGGUGGUGGUGUUUUCAGCUAAAGACCAGUGUCCACAAAGGGGUUUCAGAUCUGUUUUGUAAAUAAAAUAAAAUAAAAUAAAAUAAAAUAAAAUAAAAU